ensembl:lncRNA
AUCGAAUACUUUCCUGCCUGCAUAGUAUGCUGUGGAGAAGGAGAAUGUGAAGAGGGAGUUGGAGGCUGUCAGGGAUGUGGCUGUGACUGCUGAUGGAUGGACCAGUGUUGCGCAAGAUCACUACCUCACUGUUUCUGUCCACUGUAUAAUAGAGGGGGCCAUGAAGGAGAAAAUACUGCACACGCAGGCAGUGUAUGUAUCACAUACAGGGGUAGCAAUAGCAGAAGAGAUAGGGGACAUUUUGGAAGAAUUUGGGGUAAAGGAGAAAGUUGUGGCCAUCACUGUGGAUAAUGCUGCAAACAUGGAUGUGGCAGUGAGAAGGAUGAGUGUGAGAAAAAUUGGCUGCUUUGCCCACACACUUAACAUCGCCGCCCAAAAGAUAUACACCAUACCCUCAGUUGCAAGGUGGGCAGGAAGAGUCAGAGCAUUGUUGGUGUGGUUGAAAAGGUGUACCCUGUCUAAACCUGUUUUGAAGGAGAAGCAGAAAAUACUCGGCCUGCCAGAGCACUCAGUCAUUCUGGACGUUAAGACAAGAUGGAACAGCCUAUAUUUAAUGAUGGAGCGUUUUCUGGAAAUGUUCCCUGCCAUCCAGGCAGCCUGCAUGGACCCUCGCCUGAAGAAGUCCAUGGAGAAGGAGAGACUUGAAAGAAUUUCAGGUUACGACUUCAGGAAAGGAGAGGAGUUCGUAAAAUUGAUGAAAAUCAUGUACCAGUCAACUGUUUGCAUCUCUUCCGGAAACAACGCCACACUAGGUCAAAUUAUUCCAAUAAUAAAAAAACUUCAAGAUCACUUCAGGGUCACAGCAGACGACUCUUUCUUCUCUAAUGCCAUAAAGGAAAAAGUCUGGGAUGACCUUUCCAAAAGAUACCAAGGUGAGGGCAUUCAGGAGUUUUUGGAGGAGGGCACGGCUCUGGACCCUAGGUUCAAGGGAAAGGUAGAGGAUGCUGUGUGGUACAGACUGGAGGAG